UGGGGAAUCUUGGACAAUGGGGGCAACCCUGAUCCAGCCAUGCCGCGUGAGUGAUGAAGGCCUUAGGGUCGUAAAGCUCUUUCGCCUGUGAAGAUAAUGACGGUAGCAGGUAAAGAAACCCCGGCUAACUCCGUGCCAGCAGCCGCGGUAAUACGAAGGGGGCAAGCGUUGUUCGGAAUUACUGGGCGUAAAGCGCACGUAGGCGGACCAGAAAGUUGGGGUGAAAUCCCGGGGCUCGAACCCCGGAACUGCCUCCAAAACUAUUGGUCUAGAGUUCGAGAGAGGUGAGUGGAAUUCCAAGUGUAGAGGUGAAAUUCGUAGAUAUUUGGAGGAACACCAGUGGCGAAGGCGGCUCACUGGCUCGAUACUGACGCUGAGGUGCGAAAGUGUGGGGAGCAAACAGGAUUAGAUACCCUGGUAGUCCACACCGUAAAACGAUGAAUGCCAGUCGUCGGGUAGCAUGCUAUUCGGUGACACACCUAACGGAUUAAGCAUUCCGCCUGGGGAGUACGGUCGCAAGAUUAAAACUCAAAU
rnacentral:rRNA from 1 species